rnacentral:rRNA from 1 species
GAUGAACGCUGGCGGCGUGCCUAAUACAUGCAAGUCGAGCGAACAGACGAGGAGCUUGCUCCUCUGACGUUAGCGGCGCACGGGUGAGUAACACGUGGAUAACCUACCUAUAAGACUGGGAUAACUUCGGGAAAGCGGAGCUAAUACCGGAUAAUAUAUUGAACCGCGUGGUUCGAUAGUGAGAGACGGUUUUGCUGUCUCGUAUAGAUGGAUCCGCGCCGCAUUAGCUAGUUGGUAAGGUAACGGCUUACCAAGGCAACGAUGCGUAGCCGACCUGCGAGGGUGAUCGGCCACACUGGAACUGAGACACGGUCCAGACUCCUACGGGAGGCAGCAGUAGGGAAUCUUCCGCAAUGGGCGAAAGCCUGACGGAGCAACGCCGCGUGAGUGAUGAAGGUCUUCGGAUCGUAAAACUCUGUUAUUAGGGAAGAACAAAUGUGUAAGUAACUAUGCACGUCUUGACGGUACCUAAUCAGAAAGCCACGGCUAACUACGUG